rnacentral:rRNA from 1 species
ACGGCUCAGUAACACGUGGACAACCUACCCUUGGGACGGGGAUAAACCCGGGAAACUGGGUAUAAUACCCGAUAGGUCUCGGAUGCUGGAAUGCUUCGAGAUUUAAAACUCCGGUGCCCAAGGAUGGGUCUGCGGCCUAUCAGGUUGUAGUGGGUGUAGCGUACCUACUAGCCUACGACGGGUACGGGUUGUGAGAGCAAGAGCCCGGAGAUGGAUUCUGAGACACGAAUCCAGGCCCUACGGGGUGCAGCAGGCGCGAAAACUUUACAAUGCCGGCAACGGCGAUAAGGGAACCUCGAGUGCCAGGUUACAAAUCUGGCUGUCGUGAUGCCUAAAAAGCAUUGCAUAGCAAGGGCCGGGCAAGACCGGUGCCAGCCGCCGCGGUAACACCGGCGGCUCGAGUGGUAACCGAUAUUAUUGGGUCUAAAGGGUCUGUAGCCGGCCGGGUAAGUCUCUUGGGAAAUCUGGCAGCUUAACUGUCAGGCUUUCAGGAGAUACUGCCUGGCUCGAGGCCGGGAGAGGUGAGAGGUGCUUCAGGGGUAGGGGUGAAAUCUUGUAAUCCUUGACGGACCACCAGUGGCGAAGGCGUCUCACCAGAACGGACCUGACGGCAAGGGACGAAAGCCUGGGGCACGAACCGGAUUAGAUACCCGGGUAGUCCUAGCCGUAAACGAUACUCGCUAGGUGUCGGCCACGGUGCGACCGUGGUCGGUGCCGUAGGGAAGCCGUGAAGCGAGCCACCUGGGAAGUACGGCCGCAAGGCUGAAACUUAAAGGAAUUGGCGGGGGAGCAC